UACGGGGGGGGCAAGCGUUGUUCGGAAUUACUGGGGGUAAAGGGCUCGUAGGUGGCCAACUAAGUCACACGUGAAAUCCCUCGGCUUAACCGGGGAACUGCGUGUGAUACUGGAUGGCUUGAGUUUGGGAGAGGGAUGCGGAAUUCCAGGUGUAGCGGUGAAAUGCGUAGAUAUCUGGAGGAACACCGGUGGCGAAGGCGGCAUCCUGGACCAAUACUGACGCUGAGGAGCGAAAGCCAGGGGAGCAAACGGG
rnacentral:rRNA from 1 species